CUUCCCCUGCGGUGUUCGUUAAAGGCUUUAGUUUCUAAACCAACAUCGUUGACUGAGGUCGCCGACUCAAGCAGCACCGGUGUGCGCGUCCGACACGGAAGCGCCUAAUGGGCUCGGAAGGCGACCGACCUUGAACCGUUGGUUCAAGAUGCUGGCCUGACGGCACAGGCGGGGGUCCA
rfam:Betaproteobacteria bacterium RIFCSPLOWO2_02_FTLL_67_26 rifcsplowo2_02_scaffold_14193, whole genome shotgun sequence.